rnacentral:rRNA from 1 species
AACGUAGGAGACAAACGUUAUCCGGAGUUACUGGGCGUAAAGGGCGUGUAGGUGGUUACGUAAGCUGGCGUGAAAUUUCUCGGCUUAACCGAGGCAGGUCGUCGGAUACUGCGAGACUAGAGGACGGUAGAGGCGUGUGGAAUUCCGGGUGUAGUGGUGAAAUGCGCAGAUAUCAGGAGGAACACCGGUGGCGAAGGCGGGUCUCUGGGCCGGAUACUGACGCUGAGGAGCGAAAGCGUGGGGAGCGAACAGG